AGCGAACGCUGGCGGCAGGCCUAACACAUGCAAGUCGAACGAAGCCUUCGGGCUUAGUGGCGGACGGGUGAGUAACACGUGGGAACGUACCUUUUGGUUCGGAACAACUCAGGGAAACUUGAGCUAAUACCGGAUGAGCCCUUAGGGGGAAAGAUUUAUCGCUGAAAGAGCGGCCCGCGUUAGAUUAGCUAGUUGGUGAGGUAAAGGCUCACCAAGGCUACGAUCUAUAGCUGGUCUGAGAGGAUGAUCAGCCACACUGGGACUGAGACACGGCCCAGACUCCUGCGGGAGGCAGCAGUGGGGAAUCUUGCGCAAUGGGCGAAAGCCUGACGCAGCCAUGCCGCGUGAAUGAUGAAGGUCUUAGGAUUGUAAAAUUCUUUUACCAGUGACGAUAAUGACGGUACCUGGAGAAAAAGCCCCGGCUAACUUCGUGCCAGCAGCCGCCGUAAUAC
rnacentral:rRNA from 1 species